GUGCGUCCGAGGAGCUCACUUUUUACUUAUCUGUUGCCAUCAGCGCAUUGGAAGCUGGAUGUCUUGGCCAUCCUAAUGUUGGGACCCGCCCAGAUCCCUCCUACUCCAGUGGUGGGCUGGACGCAGGAGGAGUGAACACCGAACAUGCCGAACUGCGAGCGCAGAAACUCGGACUGGGACCUGAGAUGGAGGCAGGCAGUUGUACCAUCGAAUGAUCCGGGAUAUAAAACAUUUUGCUUGCACCUGCCUGUGAGACGCUCCCUGACUUCAACUCAUCGAUGUCCUGUCAAGCCACUAGGUGCCAUGUGUCCUGUCAUGAGCGAUAACAGGCUCAUCACGACUGCAUUCUUUCCAUUUUGGUGAAGAGCAGCGUGGCAUAGAAGGUUGGAGUGGACCGGCCUGCGGCUUUGGCCACAGGAAGCUGUGAAUUCUUAGCAGAAUGGAAGAUGUCUUAUGGGGAGACAUACUGGCCCCCCACCUACCCACUCACCACCUCAAAACGACCCCUGACCUCUCCUUGUGUUUAUAUCAGACCAUGGAAGUGAGAAAUAGUGAUGAGUCACUCUGGCUGUGUGUUUAUACUCCGGAGUCACGCAAGGAAGGAAAUCAGCCACGGUCUGCUAAAAGUGGCGAGGUGACAGAGAAUAGCUGCAGUCCCUGAGCGCUGCCGUGAUUUACCUCUGCACAACCCGAAUUUAUUUCACCUCGUCUCUGCUGCGAAGACUUUGAACCAAGAGGAAAUCAGGGCUGUGGACUGUUGUCAAGGAAAAGGCAACUCCAAUGGAAGCGAAUUAAGUUACAGUUACUGUGUUCCUGAGUUACAUUUACAGUAUGUGAGUGCAUCAUGUCAUACUCAAUAUUAUUUAAACUGAUAAAAAUAAUUCAACAAGAAAAUUAUCUGUACAUUGAAUUUGACUAAAUUCUUGAUAAUCAAGGCAGGGAAAACACACAAAUAAACUUUAAUAGAGGGAAAAGGUGUAUCUCCACACAUUCCAUGAUUGUUAUUAUUUCUUUAUUUUAAACAAAAGUUUUUCAGCUCACUAUGGAAUUAAUCUUCAAAACUUUGCAGAAUGUUUCUCAGCCAAAGGGAGGGUAUCUAUUAAAUUAAAUCACAAGGUUGUCACACUGUAGCAAUGAUACUGCACGUAACUUUGUUUAAAAAGACGUAAAUCCACUCAGGUUUUGCACUGAUUAUAUAUUGUGUUCAACAAAAAUACUCCAAGUUGAAAUUUGUUUCAUCAUCAUAAAUGUAUAAUAUUAAAAUCAAGAUUUAAAAUACUUGAAUAAAGUUAAGUAUGUCUAAAAUGUUAAAACCUUCCCAUGAUCUCAUUCAAAAGCAAAAUAGACAUAUCUAAUAUUCUAUGUCUGACAUUAUGUUUAUUACCGGUAUAUGUAUAGCUCAAGCUAAACUAUAUUUAAGAAAAAUGUAUAUAAUUAGUCUAGAUUUUUUUUAUGAUAUUUUAUAUUUAAUUUAAGUAGAUUUUAUGGAAGUAAGAAAACAAGGGUCCCAAACACGUCAUUGAUAAGUGUUAUUAUGAAAAAGUGUUUAUAAAAGGGAGCAAACACAUUUCAGUUUGUAGAUAUCCUGAAAUAAUGAAGUUAAAAAAAAAUAAAGGCCUUGGGUAUGAGUUACACUGAGAUUAUAUUAAAGACAUAGACAUGGUGUUUGGGGUCCCUUAAAGCAGUGGUUCUCAAAUGGGGGCUGUGAUACCCUGGGAGUCUGUGAAAGGUUUCCAGGUUCAUUCACUAAAGCUAUGAUCAUAUGUGGGUAUUCUGUGUUCUGUAUUUUUAAAACAUGUCUAAGACAAUUCUCAUGUUGUCCGUUCACAUAACUCAGUGUAAAAAACACAGGCUUGGUCAAAUUAUUCCAAGGGUCAUCCAUGAGGGUCCCCAGAAUAUUUUCUAUCUUCUAAGGUCCUUGGUUGAAAAUAAAAGGAGAAUCU